UGCCAGCAGCCGCGGUAAUACGGAGGGGCCAAGCGUUGUCCGGAGUUACUGGGCGUAAAGGGUGCGCAGGCGGUUGGUUACGUCGUGUGUGAAAGCCCCCGGCUUAACCGGGGAGGGUCGCGCGAAACGGGCUAACUGGAGGCAAGGCGAGGUCGGUGGAAUUCCCGGUGUAGUGGUGAAAUGCGUAGAGAUCGGGAGGAACACCAGAGGCGAAGGCGGCCGACUGGACUUGACCUGACGCUGAGGCACGAAGGCGUGGGGAGCGAACGGGAUUAGAUA
rnacentral:rRNA from 1 species